UUGUGGAGGAGGACGCCGAAGGUGGGGCUGAUGACUGGGGUGAAGUCGUAACAAGGUAGCCGUACCGGAAGGUGCGGCUGGAUCACCUCCUAACAGGGAGACAAAACUGAUUAUUGAUGUCUGAUAUUUAAUCUCAGGCCAUAAUCCUGUCACCUUAGGUCGAUCGGUACCUCUGAUUAAAUACAUCAUAUUUUUUGAGGUUUUUAAUUUCAGUUCCUAAACUUGUCUAGGUCACACCCAACAAACUUUCUCCUGGGCUAUUAGCUCAGGCGGUUAGAGCGCACCCCUGAUAAGGGUGAGGUCCCUGGUUCAAGUCCAGGAUGGCCCAUUCGUAGUUGGGGGUAUAGCUCAGUUGGUAGAGCGCCUGCUUUGCAAGCAGGAUGUCAGCGGUUCGAGUCCGCUUACCUCCACUGAUCAAUCUUUCUAACUACGAAAUUAAGGAGAUUAUUCUUGUUGUAAAUGAUCUAGAGUUGUUUUACAUGAAUUGAACCUAGCUUCCUAUCAUUCCAAACUUUGGUUGAUAAGAUGCUGGGCUCUAUGGAAUAUCAAUUUAUUCCUAGAUGUUCAGUAGAACCUUGACAACUGCAUAGGUAAGUCUGAAAAGAAUAAAGCAUCUACAUAGAUGUUUUAAAUAAAUCAGAUUAUUCUGAUUUAUUUAAAUGCAUAAUGAACAAUUCUUGAGCAAGAGCAAAGAUCUCUAUUGCUCUUUUAUUUCUAUGAAAUAAAGAGAUUUAUAGAGACAAUGGUCAAGCUACAA
rnacentral:misc_RNA from 1 species